CUAUCGUGCUUGUCGUGUAUGCUCAUCAAAAAUGAUAUCAACACCUGAUGGGUUCCAGUGUACAAAGGAUGGAGACUUCCCUUCAAAAAUAACAUUGGUGCUAUCGUGCUUGUCGUGUAUGCUCAUCAAAGAUGAUAUCAACACCUGAUGGGUUCCAGUGUACAAAGGAUGGAGGCUGCCCUUCAAAACAAUUUGAAUGGAAAUAUAAUUCCAAGCGACAUUUCACAAUGGAUUGGCCACAAGUUCACAUUUGUCGUAAGGAUUCUAUAUAAAAA